UGCACAGAGGGGCAGAUCCCGCUUGGGGUGGGAACUUCAAAAAGUACAAGAGUGAGCGUCAAGAGAGAGCGAGAGGAUGACGGAGCAGGCGUCGGGAAAGUAUCUGUGCGUCCGCCCCAAUGCAGGCAACGUUGUUCUUCUAUUGUCUUGAAUAGAAAGCCGACAGGGUGGAUAUGACUAUGAGUUAAAAAAAGACCACUGAAAUAGUAGCUUUCUGCUUAGCAUUAACUGGUCAUCCAUGCGCACGGCGUCGACAGUUUUACGAUUGCCGGCUUUUGUUUAUUUGCGUCCGAAUGAGGGGCUGUAUACAGGUUUUCAUGCUAACUAGUCUCUUAGCUGUAAUAUCAUUGGCUGCUUCACAUAGCUUAGCAUUUUCACCUGUUUUAAAUGGUUUAGUAACCCUGACAGUUACGCAGCUAUUUAGUAAACCACCGCCGUGAAAUUAACGCUUUUGUCCAUAUAGAAACGCACUUCCCACCUUCACAAUUAAGGGUACCUUUAACGCUAUGAGUUAAUUUAACCCUGACGAUGUUACUAAUCAUUCUUUGUAUUUGUAUGGCACCUUUGCCAUGCUCAAAGCGCAGAAAUUCAAAAUGAACAAUACGGUAUAGACAAAAUUGAAUACAAAUAAUAGCUGCGUAAAACACUAAAUGAUGAUAAAGGAAACAUGAAGCUUUGCGUUAGAACAGGAGACAAUAAACCAAAAUAAAAAUGCAAAAAAAUACUACAAGAAAACACUAAAGAUAACCUACUUCGUGUUACCAACGUAAACCAUCCCGAGCAUCUGGAUAAAGUAAAUGUGAAGACAAGCUCUCUUCUUCAUCAUUUGUAUGCCACUAAGCUCUACAAGCGUGUUGAAAGGACACCAAGAAACUAUUGGACUGGGAAAGACCAAGCAUAAUUAAAUCACUGAGAGACCCACCAUACACUGGUAACUGAAAACUACACUACGAACUACAUUGGGUAAAUGUGGGCCAUCAAAGGCAGUGAGAAACGUUUUUGUCUAUAAGGUACUCCUGAAGGGAAACUAAUGAGGCACCAAAAUCGGAGAGAAAACUUCAGGUGACAAGCAUAAAGCUGAUGUUGCUCCUCUAAGUCAGCAGAGGGCAGCAGAGGACCAAUAUUUUGGAAAGAUUUCACUCUGCUUCUAAUUGUUGAGAGUCGGUGGCUAGAAAGAAGCAACUGUCCUUUAAAAUAUAUGCACGAGGUCAUCUGCGCACUGGUCCAAGCACUGACACUCUUGGGAGUCUGCAAGUGAUUCACAGUGCCCCUGUGAGAAAGCUGGAACUGGCUUAAAAAGGUUGUUCCCUGCUGCAUACCAGUUCAGUCUAGAAAUAGGCAUGCAAUUGGUGGGCAAAGGCUUACUGGCAAAGAGGGCAAAUAUGAAGCACCUGACAUAGAAGAUAGGAGACAUACAGUGUGGUGUUUAAAGGUAAAGAAAAGACUGCACAGUCAGUUAAAGAGCGAUCUGGUAUUAGACAGACAGAACAAAGAUGGAAGGCUUUAUUUUGAAUUAAAUUAUUAAAUUACAAACGCCUAUCUCUUCCCUUCCCAUACCAUAUAUUAUAAAGUUCAUCUGAUUUUUAGAAGAUGCAGAAU